AGAGGGGGCAAGCGUUGUUCGGAAUUACUGGGCGUAAAGGGCGCGUAGGCGGCCCGCUAAGUCGAACGUGAAAUCCCCAGGCUCAACCUGGGAACUGCGUCCGAUACUGGCAGGCUUGAAUCCGGGAGAGGGAUGUGGAAUUCCAGGUGUAGCGGUGAAAUGCGUAGAUAUCUGGAGGAACACCGGUGGCGAAGGCGGCAUCCUGGACCGGUAUUGACGCUGAGGCGCGAAAGCUAGGGGAGCAAACGGGAUUAGAUACCCCGGUAGUCCUAGCCCUAAACGAUGAAUGCUUGGUGUGGCGGGUAUCGAUCCCUGCCGUGCCGAAGCUAACGCAUUAAGCAUUCCGCCUGGGGAGUACGGUCGCAAGGCUGAA
rnacentral:rRNA from 1 species